AUGUAUCCAACAACAAAUCACUACAUGGAUCCAUACUCCUCAUACUACAGGCAUCAUGCUCCCUAUCCAUAUUAUCCCCCUCCUGCCUGGGAACCUGGGCACCAGCAGAUGCCUGAACCGGACUGCUCGCCAUGUCGGCCGCCGUCGUAUGGCCCUUGGCCGUACAGUGCCAGCAUGAAUCACUCUGGCCUUCCAGACUCCCAUAGCUGCUGCAGUCACACAUACCCUCCUGGUUACUACAGUUUCAGACCCCCAUUGCCCCAAGAAUUUCCACCACCACCUCCUCUAUACUACCAUGGUCCAUUUCCACCGCAUCAUCAUCUGAACCCCUACUCGCCAUCAUACUUUGGCCCACUCCCACCAUAUCAUCCUGUCGAUCAAACACCAUACGAUGGUUUUUAUGACAAGUUCAGGAGCCAUUGUUGCGGGUGUCCGAACCAUGUGUGCCAUGGAGAUGGAGGGCAGAAGAGCAACGUGAAAAUCGAAGAACAUGUGCCUGAAGUGAAGGAUGACAGUAAACAGAAGGAUGCAGACAAUUCCAGAAUAAUUCGCAACCCAAACUACCAGUACCCGGUGAUGUGGCUACCGUCCGGUGACAUGAAAGACAACAAGGCUAAUAAUGGAACAAGCUUUGAGUUUCCACCUCAGUUUUUCAGCAAGUGGUUUCCUCAAAGUGGAGAGAGGGCAGAGGAUGUGAAGCCAGCUGAUGACAAUCAGAAGGCGAAACAACUUCAGUGGCCAAUGGUUUGGAUGCCACCAGGAUAUGGCGUUGAGACCAAACCAGAAGCUAAAAAAGAGCUGAAGGAGAUAGAGCAGAGUCCAAAGAGCACGCAAGAAGAUCCGCCUUCGCCGAAGAUCAAGAUUAUUCCCUUGUCAUGGUUUGGAAAUGAUCAUCAUGAUCAAAAGCCUGCUGCUAGGGAUGGCUCUGGAGAACAACAUGGAAGAUCAUCAGCGGCGAACCAGCCUGCAGGCACCCAGCAUCGGCAUGACACGACAGUGGAUGGAAAUUGUAAGACCAUCCCAGUUGUGCCGGAGAAGCCGAACACUGGGAAUGAACCUGCUGCUAUUUCAGUUGUGCCGGAGAAACCAAACAGUGGGAAUGAACCUGCUACUAUUUCAGUUGUGCCGGAGAAACAGGAUUCUGAGAAGAAGGUUCAUACCUGCAGGACCAUCCCGGUUAUGCCUCAGAAAGAGAGUGAUGAGAAGAAAUCCUCCAUGGCUGGAAACAAAGAAGAAAAGAAGGCCAUCAUUGUUCAGAAGGAGGGAGAAAGUAAGAAAAGCAACAAUGUUGAAUCAUCAAAGGCCAAGCCUUCAAAAUUACCCCCUGUAUGCUUGCGAGUGGAUCCUUUGCCAAAGAAGAAAUCAGGAAACACAUCUUCAAGGUCAUCCAACCAAGCAACCAAGAAGGUUUGUGAAAAAGUGAAGGAUGUGAAAGAGGCCCAAGGCAAGAACCAGGAGACAAAGCAAUCAGAACAUCAGAAAGAGGGUAAGAUGCCGAUUAAAGAGAAAUCAUCUGAUGAUGUUGCCAAAAGUACAGGGCCUAGGAAUGUAACAGUGGUAGAUGCUUCAGUGAAGCACGCGCAAGAGGAACAAGUUUCCACAACUGUGACUGAUCAGAAGGCGCAACCUACCGUCAGUGCUGAAGCACAAGAAGAAAGUGUCAGUGCAAGUAGCUUGCAGGAGUGUGAUAAAAACAGAAAGGAGGAUGAGUUGAAGAUCGGAGGUGAAGCUCCAAAUUUAGCCUGUGAAAUAAAGUUAUCAGAACCAGAUGCCGCUGUUCGUAUUCAGUCUGCAUACAGAGGGUACCAUGUACGAAGAUGGCAGCCUUUGGAGAAACUACGGAAGAUCAAGAAUGUACAUAAACAGAUGCAAGAUGUGGAGAAGCAGCUGCAAGCCCUUGAAGCUUCUUCAAAGCAGCCGACAGUAAAAGAGCACAUUGCUAUGAAUGAGACCAUCAUGAAUUUACUUCUGAACCUUGACACCAUUCAAAACUUGCAUCCAGUUGUGAGGGAGGCUAGGAAGUCUGUUGCUCGACAGCUAGUUUGUUUGCAGGAGAAGCUCGAUUCUUUGUGCAAGAAACUGCCUGCUGAACCAAAUCACCCUAAGAGUGAGGAAGCAAGUCUCACAGGAGUGGGUGAAGAACAAUUGCCUUCCUCAGUUAACUCCAACGAGCCUAUGCACGAUGAGGUUUCAUCGGAAGUUGCCUUGAAGUUGAGUCAAGAUGGAGAUUCUACUGAACAGAAACAUCAAACAGAGGAACCAAGUACUGCAAAAGAAGAAGCGCAAGAUGAAGGAAAAGCUGCAGCACCUGGUGAAUGUCAAGGAGUACCCCCGACGGAUGUGAUGCCUGAUGCAGCUUUAUCAGGACUUGCCACUGAGAAGAAGUACCAAAUGGAAGAGCCAGACAUAUUGAGAGAAGAAUAUACUGAAGAAGAGAAAGCCGCAGCGAAGAGUGAAGGAUCAUCAACACGCUACCUCGAUGGCUCAGUGCUGAAACAAUGCACUGAAGGAUCUGCGGAGCAAAACUGCCACCCUGAAGAAUCAGAUCAAGGCGUUUCUUUUACAACUGAGGAUGGUAAAACUGCAAUGACUAAAGCAUGUAUGGACAGUGAAGUUGAUGCUGCCAAUCAGGACGGUUCGGCAGAAGGAGGUCAGGUGCAGGAAUCUGCUCCCGUUGGUAUCUCGUGGCUGAAACAUGAUGCUGCCCCUGCUGAAGAUCAGUUCAAAGAACCAGGUGCUCCAUCCCUUCAUCUGGAGGAUUCUUCUGUGUCUUCAAAAGCUGCAGAUCCACAUGAAAAUGAUCCAGCCCUGGCAGAUGACUCCAUAGUAAUCAUCACUCCAGCAGACCAACAAGAAGGGUCCGUUGAUGCUGACUUGCAGAAAGAAGUUGCAGAGACCAUGGUUGAUUCAGACAAAGAACCAAAUGGAACGCCAACGCCUCCUGUUGGCGAUGCCGGUAACAUGGACUACGUUCCUGGUGCAAAUGCAGAGAUCACAGAGCAAGAAAAACUUGGUUUGGUAGGACCAGAAGCGACAAGACAAUGUGAGGAAUCAGCACUUGCGGAGCAGCAAAAUGAAGGUGGCUCUGCCAUGGAAAAUACUAUGAAUGAUGAUGAAAUUGGAGAGGAGCCUGAAGCCAUAGCAUCGGAAAGCAGAGUCGAUGCCAUUGUAGAGGAGACUGAAGCUGUACCAUUGGAAAUCGACAACAAGACCACUGAAAAUACUCUGAAUGGUGCCACUGGAGAGGGGGCUGAAGCCGCACCACUGUAG
rnacentral:rRNA from 1 species